CCUACGGGGGGCAGCAGUGGGGAAUAUUGGACAAUGGGGGCAACCCUGAUCCAGCCAUGCCGCGUGUGUGAAGAAGGCCUUCGGGUUGUAAAGCACUUUCAGUGAGGAAGAAGGCCUGCGGGUUAAUAGCCGGCAGGAAGGACAUCACUCACAGAAGAAGCACCGGCUAACUCCGUGCCAGCAGCCGCGGUAAUACGGAGGGUGCGAGCGUUAAUCGGAAUUACUGGGCGUAAAGCGCGCGUAGGUGGCUUGAUAAGCCGGUUGUGAAAGCCCCGGGCUCAACCUGGGAACGGCAUCCGGAACUGUCAGGCUAGAGUGCAGGAGAGGAAGGUAGAAUUCCCGGUGUAGCGGUGAAAUGCGUAGAGAUCGGGAGGAAUACCAGUGGCGAAGGCGGCCUUCUGGACUGACACUGACACUGAGGUGCGAAAGCGUGGGUAGCAAACAGGAUUAGAUACCCGAGUAGUCC
rnacentral:rRNA from 1 species